GACAGAGGGUGCAAACGUUGUUCGGAAUUACUGGGCGUAAAGCGUGUGUAGGCGGUCCGCUAAGUCGGGUGUGAAAGCCCUGGGCUCAACCCAGGAAGUGCGCUCGAAACUGGCGGGCUAGAGUAUCGGAGAGGUUGGUGGAAUUCUCGGUGUAGAGGUGAAAUUCGUAGAUAUCGAGUGGAACACCGGUGGCGAAGGCGGCCAACUGGACGAAUACUGACGCUGAGACACGAAAGCGUGGGGAGCAAACAGG
rnacentral:rRNA from 1 species